GAGGGAGGGAGCGAUCGAGAGGGAGAGGGGACUGUAUAAGGGAAAGAAAACAGUUUCUCCUGCUCUGCAGCUUCUGUUCAGGAUUGAAGUGGAUCUAGGAAUGAAUGGAUGACUGAAUAUUCAUAUGAAGAGGAAAGCCAUAAAAGACAUUAACACCUUUGAGAACAGAAUGUUAAUGCUUGAUGGGAUGCCGGCAGUCAGAGUCAAAACAGAACUGUUGGAAUCUGAACAAGGUUCUCCAAACGUCCACAACUAUCCAGACAUGGAAGCUGUACCCUUGUUGCUAAAUAAUAUGAAGGCAGAUCCCCCAGAGGAUUCGUUAUCUACGGACCAUUUCCAAACACAAACUGAACCAGUGGACUUGUCAAUAAACAAAGCCAGGUCAUCCCCUACAGCAGCCUCAUCUUCACCGGUUUCCAUGACAGCCUCAGCCUCCUCUCCUUCUUCUACUUCAACUUCUUCUAGUCGGCCAGCUUCCUCCCCUACAGUAAUAACAUCAGUAUCUUCAGCGGCAUCUGUGCCAUCAGUAUUAACUCCAGGCCCUCUUGUGGCCUCUGCAUCUGGUGUUGGAGGCCAGCAGUUUUUGCACAUAAUCCAUCCAGUACCACCCUCAAGCCCCAUGAACUUACAGUCCAACAAAAUGAGUCAUGUGCACCGCAUUCCAGUUGUGGUGCAGUCGGUACCUGUAGUCUACACAGCUGUGAGAUCACCUGGAAAUAUGAACAACACUAUAGUAGUACCGCUGUUGGAGGAUGGGAGAAGCCAUGUUAAAGCACAAAUGGAUCCCCGAGGCAUCUCUCCCAGACAAAUUAAAAGUGACAGUGAUGAUGAUGACCUGCCAAAUGUGACCUUAGAUAGUGUUAAUGAAACUGGAUCCACGGCUCUUUCCAUAGCCAGAGCUGUACAAGAAGAGAGCAUGUGGGGCUGUGCCAGGUCAGCUGUUAACACUUUUCGUUUUUUCAACUCCAGUUCAAUUUCACCAUUCAGUAUUGAGAGCACAAGGCGCCCAAGAAGGUCCGAGUCUCCAGAUUCCAGGAAGCGGCGCAUCCAUAGGUGUGAUUUUGAAGGAUGCAACAAAGUAUACACAAAAAGUUCUCAUCUGAAGGCUCACCGGCGGACACACACAGGAGAGAAACCAUACAAAUGUACCUGGGAAGGGUGCACUUGGAAGUUUGCUCGCUCAGAUGAACUGACAAGGCACUAUCGCAAGCACACAGGAGUGAAGCCAUUCAAGUGUGCAGACUGUGACCGCAGCUUUUCCCGUUCAGAUCACUUGGCACUGCACCGCCGCAGGCACAUGCUGGUGUGAGAAAUGCUACUUGUCAUCAGAGUGUAAGAGCUGGGCCUCUUAACUACGUGCAUUCAGCAGGGCUGAAUCCCCUUCUACAGUGUUAACACAAAAGGACAUUCCAUGAUGUCCAUAACUAAAAAGCAGGAAAAGAAGUGCCACUCUUCUCCUUUCCAUCUGAGGUUAAAGCCCCCCAGCAUGGUAACCUCCUCCACACCCCAAAAAAUGUCAUCAUGUUCACCUGGGAGAGAGCAACUUAAAUGCUACAAAAAUGGGCAUUAUUUUCCAUACUGUGUCCUUUAACAACAUUUAUGACCUGUGCAUUUUCUCAGUUAUUGGACAUUUUGUUCUUGAGAAUAAUUGCUAUUUUGAUGAUCGGAUAACACAAACCAAUGACAAGAACAAGACCUCUAGAUCUUCAAUUUUCCAUCAUCUUCCCUUUUUUUGAGUGCCGUCUAAUCAGUAUAGAAAAAAUACCUGAUCUGUGCUACAAACAAGCUGCAGGAAAGUCAGCAAGAUGAUUUUGCUGGAGAGGUUCCACUAUCUGAAGCAUAGAGCACAUAAGCAGACUUUUGCAAUAAUGAUGGUGGCAUUUUACUAUUUCAUCACAGUUUGUCAUUACACCCUAAAAGACACCAAACAUGUAACCUUUUCUUUUUUUUCAUAUUGGGGGGGGUUUUUUGUUUGUUGAUGUCUGUAAAACAAAAUGGGGUUUCAGCAGCAUUUCAGCUGAAAUACAGUGUGAGAACCUGUGCUCUGCCGUGAAUUUGUUUACAACAGUUUGUAUAGAACGACACCACCUACAAGUUAUUGCCCUGUUUUCAAAGUGCAGUUUUUUGUCACCUAUGCAUUCUCUCCUUCUACAUCCACGUAUUUGAUUACAAGUUAACAGUGAAACAAAUCUUAUAUCCAUUUGCAGCAUGAUUAAUGGUAUGGCCAUCUAUAAAAUGGAAUUGAAUGUACAACUGCUAGUGGGGAAAAGCAGAAAAGAAACAGCUGCAUCUCUAACAGAGAGAAGGUGGAUGCUUCAAAAUGGAGAUGAGCUUGUAACCAUUAAUAUCUUUUUUUGAGAGGUCAGUGAGGUAAACUGUGUCUUCUACAGCAUACAAAAAUGAGGCCAUUCACCAUGUCCAUGCUGUCCCAAUUCACACACACAUCCAUACCUGCAUACAAACACCCACGUGUUCACAUACCUUAUCAUGUAUGUAAUUAGAAAUAUUUAACCAUGAUUUCAAAACCGGAUGAAGAAUUGGACACAUUUAGUACUGUAAAAAGUAAAUACCUUCAUCUUAUUAAGAAACCAGUUUGUAUUCCUCUAUUAUGUCUUUGUGUGUGUUUUGUAACUGAAGAUGUACAUAAAGAAAUUUUAAAACUGCUCUAUUUUCACAGUUUCAUUACAGAGUAACAGUAACUGUGCAAUGUAUGCUUAGCAAGUCAUGCCCAUUGGUACUUUUAAAUAUGUUAAAUCUUAAUCAAUUUCAGUAGCAAUUGAGUUUCUAGUUAUAAAACCUAACUAUAAGGAUACUGCAUCUUUAAAAAUAAUAGAAUGAAGGUAUUUUACUGUACUUGUAACAGUUUAAAUAUUCUGUAAUAUAUAUGAUAGUCAAAAAGUAUUUUCAAACUUAUCGUUUUACACAGGAUGUAAAUAGUUUAAAUGAAGUAUGUUUAAAAAGAAUUGUAGUUUUCAUUGCAAAAAAAAAAGAAAAUUAAAACCUGCUCAGAUAUGCCCUGUAAAACUUAUACACAGUUAAAAUAUAGGAACUAAUUUUUUCCACUUUGUCAGAGCAUGUUCAGUCUGUGCAAAAAUAGAGUGCCAUUGGUCUUGGGUUAUUGCCAGUAGUAUUAGAUUCAAUGAAGUAAUUAAGGGCACAUCUACACAGCAGGGCUGAAGUCGGAAUAAGCUACGCAAGUUGAGCUAUGUCAAUUGCGUAGCUGAAGUCGAAAUAGCUAAACUUGGCUUUUGGUACUGUCUACACAGCAGGAAGUAGAGGGAAGAACUCUCUUCAUUUGACUUCCUUACUCUCAUAAAAUGAGGAUUAUGAUGAGUCAGAGUAAGAAAUUCUCCAGAUCAUCAUUAUUUCAAAAUAAUGGUUUGCUGUGUAGACGCACUCUUUUUUAAUUUCAGAAUAACGUCAGUUAUUCUGAAAUAACGUUGCUGUGUAGAUGUACCCUUUGAGUCCUUGAAAGCUGAAUAAGACAAAACUCAAGAUGCCUUAGUCUGACCAAGGUAAAAAACAAACAAAAAACGAGCAACUGCAUUGGUGCUUUUUCAUUUAGGGUACACUACACUUGCUCCUUAGUUCAAACUAGGGAUGCAAAUGUAGGCAACCGAAAUUGCUAAUGAAGCGGGGAUUUAAAUAU